UACGUAGGGGGCUAGCGUUGUCCGGAAUCAUUGGGCGUAAAGCGCGCGUAGGCGGCCCGGUAAGUCCGCUGUGAAAGUCCAGGGCUCAACCCUGGGAUGCCGGUGGAUACUGUCGGGCUCGAGUCCGGAAGAGGAGUGUGGAAUUCCUGGUGUAGCGGUGAAAUGCGCAGAUAUCAGGAAGAACACCUAUGGCGAAGGCAGCUCUCUGGGACGGUACUGACGCUGAGACGCGAAAGCGUGGGGAGCGAACAGG
rnacentral:rRNA from 1 species